rnacentral:rRNA from 1 species
UUACACAUGCAGUCGAGCGGCUGCGGGACUUCGGUCUGGUGGCGAGUGGCGGACGGGUGAGUAAUGUCUCGGAACGUGCCCGGUAGCGGGGGAUAACUUCGCGAAAGGGUAGCUAAUACCGCAUACGCCCUACGGGGGAAAGCAGGGGAUCGCAAGACCUUGCACUAUUGGAGCGGCCGAUGUCGGAUUAGCUAGUUGGUGGGGUAACGGCUCACCAAGGCGACGAUCCGUAGCUGGUUUGAGAGGACGACCAGCCACACUGGGACUGAGACACGGCCCAGACUCCUACGGGAGGCAGCAGUGGGGAAUUUUGGACAAUGGGGGAAACCCUGAUCCAGCCAUCCCGCGUGUGCGAUGAAGGCCUUCGGGUUGUAAAGCACUUUUGGCAGGGAAGAAACGUCGUGGGUUAAUACCUCGCUAAUCUGACGGUACCUGCAGAAUAAGCACCGGCUAACUACGUGCCAGCAGCCGCGGUAAUACGUAGGGUGCAAGCGUUAAUCAGAAUUACUGGGCGUAAAGCGUGCGCAGGCGGUUCGGUAAGAUAGAUGUGAAAUCCCAGAGCUCAACUUGGGAACUGCAUUCUUUAACUAGCGAGCUAGAGUGUGUCAGAGGGAGGUGGAAUUCCGCGUGUAGCAGUGAAAUGCGUAGAUAUGCGAGGACACCGAUGCGAGCAGCCUCCUGGGCUCACACUGACCUCAUGCACGAAAGCGUGGGGAGCAACAGAUUAGAUACCUGUAGUCACGCCGUCACGAUGUCACUAGCUGUGGGUCUUCGGACUUGUUGGCGCAGCUACGCAUGAGU